GAGAAGGGGCUUCCGAAGAUGGGGCAGAACAAGCUAUAUUUUUAUGCUUCCAUAUCUUUCUCUGCUGAAGAAUUGCGGCGUCUCACUAUGGCAGAAGGAAAAGUAGACAAAGAUUCAACUGGAAAAGUUUUGGACAAAGUUCAACUUCGAGAUGAUUUAACUGAAAAAGUUAUUAAAGAUAAUGACCAUGUCCAAAUUGCUGCAAUUAAGUUACUGUAGUAGGAUGAUUUUCCUGAUUUAAUAGGGGUUCCUUUAUUUGGAUUCUGUCAGUUGUAUUUCUCUAAGUUCUUUGGGGCUUGACCAACAGAU